UACGUAGGGGGCAAGCGUUGUCCGGAAUCAUUGGGCGUAAAGAGCGUGUAGGCGGCCAGAUAAGUCCGCUGUGAAAUCUCGAGGCUCAACUUCGAGCUGUCGGUGGAAACUGUCUGGCUAGAGUCCGGAAGAGGAGAAUGGAAUUCCUGGUGUAGCGGUGAAAUGCGCAGAUAUCAGGAAGAACACCCGUGGCGAAGGCGGCUCACUGGCCCGAUACUGACGCUGAGGCACGAAAGCGUGGGGAGCAAACAGG
rnacentral:rRNA from 1 species